rnacentral:rRNA from 1 species
GGAAUAUUGGUCAAUGGACGAGAGUCUGAACCAGCCAAGUAGCGUGCAGGAUGACGGCCCUAUGGGUUGUAAACUGCUUUUAUACGGGGAUAAAGUGACCCACGUGUGGGUUUUUGUAGGUACCGUAUGAAUAAGGACCGGCUAAUUCCGUGCCAGCAGCCGCGGUAAUACGGAAGGUCCGGGCGUUAUCCGGAUUUAUUGGGUUUAAAGGGAGCGCAGGCCGAUGGUUAAGCGUGACGUGAAAUGUAGCCGCUCAACGGCUGAACUGCGUCGCGAACUGGCUGUCUUGAGUGAGUUCGAUGUGGGCGGAAUUCGUGGUGUAGCGGUGAAAUGCUUAGAUAUCACGAAGAACUCCGAUUGCGAAGGCAGCCCACAAGGCCUUUACUGACGCUAAAGCUCGAAGGUGCGGGUAUCGAACA